AUAAAGACGUUGAUGAAGAUAAAGCUAUCAAUAAUUAAUCCAAGAGAGUCGGGGGAGCUGGGAACCGAUAUUAAUUUGAUAGGUAAUGAUCACUUCUGAGUUUUAUGGCUGAAGGUUAGUAAGCCAUGACGGUGGCCCCGUUAAAAGGCUAAGGUUUGAAAGAACCUGAUGAGGCAGUUGCUGUGAAGUGACUGUGAAAUAGAGUGGUAACGCGUAUAUGUAACGCCUCUAUA
rnacentral:ncRNA from 1 species